rnacentral:lncRNA from 1 species
GCAAAAUUUCCUUAAAAUUACCAAUUCAGGGGCAGCAACCCAACAACGGGUUGUCUGAUUCAUCUGAAAAUUUCAGGGCAGAUAGAUCUUGACCUGAUAAACAAUAUUACCCCAUGUCAGAUUUGCUCUAAAUGCUUUGGUUUUUGAGUUAUAAGCCAAAAACUGCAUUUGACCCCUAUGUUCUAUUUUUAGCAAUGGCGACCAUGUUUGUUGAUAGAUCAAAACUUCGGAUACAAUUUAUAAAUUAGAUACCCUAAGGAACAUUCAGUUAAAGUUUGAAAGUAUUUGGCCCAGUAGUUUCAGAGGAGAAGAUUCUUGAAAUAGUUUAUGACGACAGACGACAGACGACGGACGACGACGGACGCCAAGUGAUGGCAUAAGCUCACUUGUCCCUUCGGGACAGG